CGUCACUACAGUCCCUGGUUUGGAUCCAGGCUGUAUCACAUCCGGCCGUGAUUGGGAGUCCCAUAGCUCCGCGCACAAUUGGCUCAGCGUUGUCCGGGUUUUAAUUAAAAGGUUAGUUAACGUCCUGCAAAGAUGACUGCAAGAGCACAGCGCAGAAUGCUCAAUGAGGUAAAGAAGAAUCCUAGUGUCAGCUGAACACUUACAUAAAUCUCUGGAACAUGCUAACAUCUCUGUUGACGAGUCUACGAUAUGUAAAACACUAAAACAAGAAUGGUGUUCAGGGAAGAAGCCACCGCUGUCCAAAAAAAAACUAAUUUUGAAGUUCGCAAAAGUGCACCUGGAUGUUCCACAGCGCUACUGUCAAAAUAUUCUGUGGACAAAUAAAACUCAAAUGAAGUUGUUUUGAAGGAACACACAACACUAUGUGUGGAGAGAAAAAAAGGCACAGCACACCAAUUCUUCCCAAAGAUUAUCAAGACAUUUUGCAGGAGAAUGUUGGGCUAUCUGUCCGCCUAUUGAAGCUCUACAGAUGUUGGGUGAUGCAACAGGAAACGCAGAAGUAAAUCAACAACAGAAUGGCUUCAACAGAAGACAAUACGCCUUCUGGAGUGACCCAGUCCUGACCUCAACCCGAUUGAGAUGCUGUGUCCUGACCUCAACCCGAUUGAGAUGCUGUGGGACGACCUCAAGAGAGCCGUUCACACCAGACAUCCUAAGAAUUUGAACUGAACUGAAACAGUUUUGUAAAGAGGACAUUCCUCCUGACUGUUGCGCCGGUCUGAUCUGCAACUACAGAAAACAUUUGGUUGAUGUUGUUGCUGCCAAAGGAGGGUCAACCAGUUAUUAAAUCCAAGGGUUCACCUACUUUUCCCACCCUGCACUGUGAAUGUUUACACGCUGUGUUACACAGAGACAUGAAAACGUAUCGUUUUAAGUGUGUUAUUAGUUUAAGUAGACUAUGUUUGUGAUAGGUGAGAAUUGUCUUUUAAUUGAAUGAUUAGAAUAUUCCCUCCUGAAACAUAUAAUUGUAUGGAAUUGAUUAGAAUGUUUGAAAUCAUAAUCAAUAAAUGUGUAGUCCUAGUCAGAAUUAGGGUAAAACAAUAUGUCUUUAUGGUAUUUUAAACACAGACUGUCUGAGCUUGGUGCCGACCUGACUAGAGAUUUGGGAGAGAAUGGGGAGUACGUCUCGAGGACAAGGUCACUAUCUCUGUCGGCUGGGAAGUGAGACAGACAGUGUGUGUAGCAGGACAAGGUCACUAUCUCCGUCGGCUAGGUAGUGAGACAGACAGUGUAGCAGGACAAGGUCACUAUCUCUGUCGGCUGGGAAGUGAGACAGACAGUGUGUGUAGCAGGACAAGGUCACUAUCUCCGUCGGCUGGGAGGUGAGACAGACAGACAGUGUAGCAGGACAAGGUCACUAUCUCUGUCGGCUGGGAAGUGAGACAGACAGUGUGUGUAGCAGGACAAGGUCACUAUCUCCGUCGGCUAGGUAGUGAGACAGACAGUGUAGCAGGACAAGGUCACUAUCUCUGUCGGCUGGGAAGUGAGACAGACAGUGUGUGUAGCAGGACAAGGUCACUAUCUCUGUCGGCUGGGUAGUGAGACAGACAGUGUUGCAGGACAUGUGUGUGAGUAUGUUUGUGUGUGUGUGUGUGUGUAUGUUUGUAUGUGUGUGCGUAUGUGUGUGCGUAUGUGUGUGCGUAUGUGUGUGUGUGUAUGUGUGUGUGUAUGUUUGUGCGUAUGGUUGUGUGUAUGUUUGUGCUUAUGGUUGUGCGUAUGUUUGUGUGUAUGUGUGUGUGUAUGGUUGUGUGUAUGUGUGUGUGUGUGUGUGUGUGUGUGUGUGUGUGUGUGUGUGUGUGUGUGUAUGUGUUGUGUGUGUGUGUGUGUAUUGUUGUGUGUGUGUGUGUAUGGUUGUGUGUGUGUGUGUGUGUGUGUAUGUGUGUGUGUGUAUGGUUGUGUGUGUGUGUGUGUGUGAGAAGUCAGUAUAAAUUAAUUGUUUUGUAUUCUUGACUCCAGAACGUUCCGUGAAUAAACCUUUUUGACCA
ensembl:lncRNA